UUAAGUUAUUAAGGGCGCACGGUGGAUGCCUUGGCACUAGAAGCCGAUGAAGGACGUUACUAACGACGAUAUGCUUUGGGGAGCUGUAAGUAAGCUUUGAUCCAGAGAUUUCCGAAUGGGGAAACCCAGCAUGAGUUAUGUCAUGUUAUCGAUAUGUGAAUACAUAGCAUAUCAGAAGGCACACCCGGAGAACUGAAACAUCUUAGUACCCGGAGGAAGAGAAAGAAAAUUCGAUUCCCUUAGUAGCGGCGAGCGAAACGGGAAGAGCCCAAACCAACAAGCUUGCUUGUUGGGGUUGUAGGACACUCUAUACGGAGUUACAAAGGACGACAUUAGACGAAUCAUCUGGAAAGAUGAAUCAAAGAAGGUAAUAAUCCUGUAGUCGAAAAUGUUGUCUCUCUUGAGUGGAUCCUGAGUACGACGGAGCACGUGAAAUUCCGUCGGAAUCUGGGAGGACCAUCUCCUAAGGCUAAAUACUCUCUAGUGACCGAUAGUGAACCAGUACCGUGAGGGAAAGGUGAAAAGCACCCCGGAAGGGGAGUGAAAUAGAACCUGAAACCGUGUGCUUACAAGUAGUCAGAGCCCGUUAAUGGGUGAUGGCGUGCCUUUUGUAGAAUGAACCGGCGAGUUACGAUUUGAUGCAAGGUUAAGCAGUAAAUGUGGAGCCGUAGCGAAAGCGAGUCUGAAUAGGGCGUUUAGUAUUUGGUCGUAGACCCGAAACCAGGUGAUCUACCCUUGGUCAGGUUGAAGUUCAGGUAACACUGAAUGGAGGACCGAACCGACUUACGUUGAAAAGUGAGCGGAUGAACUGAGGGUAGCGGAGAAAUUCCAAUCGAACCUGGAGAUAGCUGGUUCUCUCCGAAAUAGCUUUAGGGCUAGCCUCAAGUGAUGAUUAUUGGAGGUAGAGCACUGUUUGGACGAGGGGCCCCUCUCGGGUUACCGAAUUCAGACAAACUCCGAAUGCCAAUUAAUUUAACUUGGGAGUCAGAACAUGGGUGAUAAGGUCCGUGUUCGAAAGGGAAACAGCCCAGACCACCAGCUAAGGUCCCAAAAUAUAUGUUAAGUGGAAAAGGAUGUGGCGUUGCCCAGACAACUAGGAUGUUGGCUUAGAAGCAGCCAUCAUUUAAAGAGUGCGUAAUAGCUCACUAGUCGAGUGACACUGCGCCGAAAAUGUACCGGGGCUAAACAUAUUACCGAAGCUGUGGAUUGUCCUUUGGACAAUGGUAGGAGAGCGUUCUAAGGGCGUUGAAGCAUGAUCGUAAGGACAUGUGGAGCGCUUAGAAGUGAGAAUGCCGGUGUGAGUAGCGAAAGACGGGUGAGAAUCCCGUCCACCGAUUGACUAAGGUUUCCAGAGGAAGGCUCGUCCGCUCUGGGUUAGUCGGGUCCUAAGCUGAGGCCGACAGGCGUAGGCGAUGGAUAACAGGUUGAUAUUCCUGUACCACCUAUAAUCGUUUUAAUCGAUGGGGGGACGCAGUAGGAUAGGCGAAGCGUGCGAUUGGAUUGCACGUCUAAGCAGUAAGGCUGAGUAUUAGGCAAAUCCGGUACUCGUUAAGGCUGAGCUGUGAUGGGGAGAAGACAUUGUGUCUUCGAGUCGUUGAUUUCACACUGCCGAGAAAAGCCUCUAGAUAGAAAAUAGGUGCCCGUACCGCAAACCGACACAGGUAGUCAAGAUGAGAAUUCUAAGGUGAGCGAGCGAACUCUCGUUAAGGAACUCGGCAAAAUGACCCCGUAACUUCGGGAGAAGGGGUGCUCUUUAGGGUUAACGCCCAGAAGAGCCGCAGUGAAUAGGCCCAAGCGACUGUUUAUCAAAAACACAGGUCUCUGCUAAACCGUAAGGUGAUGUAUAGGGGCUGACGCCUGCCCGGUGCUGGAAGGUUAAGAGGAGUGGUUAGCUUCUGCGAAGCUACGAAUCGAAGCCCCAGUAAACGGCGGCCGUAACUAUAACGGUCCUAAGGUAGCGAAAUUCCUUGUCGGGUAAGUUCCGACCCGCACGAAAGGCGUAACGAUUUGGGCACUGUCUCAACGAGAGACUCGGUGAAAUCAUAGUACCUGUGAAGAUGCAGGUUACCCGCGACAGGACGGAAAGACCCCGUGGAGCUUUACUGUAGCCUGAUAUUGAAAUUCGGCACAGCUUGUACAGGAUAGGUAGGAGCCUUUGAAACGUGAGCGCUAGCUUACGUGGAGGCGCUGGUGGGAUACUACCCUAGCUGUGUUGGCUUUCUAACCCGCACCACUUAUCGUGGUGGGAGACAGUGUCAGGCGGGCAGUUUGACUGGGGCGGUCGCCUCCUAAAAGGUAACGGAGGCGCUCAAAGGUUCCCUCAGAAUGGUUGGAAAUCAUUCAUAGAGUGUAAAGGCAUAAGGGAGCUUGACUGCGAGACCUACAAGUCGAGCAGGGUCGAAAGACGGACUUAGUGAUCCGGUGGUUCCGCAUGGAAGGGCCAUCGCUCAACGGAUAAAAGCUACCCCGGGGAUAACAGGCUUAUCUCCCCCAAGAGUUCACAUCGACGGGGAGGUUUGGCACCUCGAUGUCGGCUCAUCGCAUCCUGGGGCUGUAGUCGGUCCCAAGGGUUGGGCUGUUCGCCC
rnacentral:rRNA from 1 species